rnacentral:rRNA from 1 species
GUUUGAAUUUGUGGAUGAUUAUACAAUUUUUUUAUGUCGGAUUGAAUUUUGCUUCUAGAAAUCUUUUAGAUUCGGCCGCAGGAGGCACUUUUAUGGAAAUCGCUUUAGGAGAUGCUACUAAACUCCUAGAUAAUAUUAUGGUUAAUUAUUCUCAAUGGCAUACUGAAAGGUCUUCUAAUAAAAAAGUGCAUGCGGUAGAAGAAAUCAAUUUUUUGAGUGGAAAGAUGGAUGAACUUAUGAAAUUAUUUGCUACUAAGAGUGUUUCUUCUGAUCCUAAUGAUAUUCCUUUGUCUACUUUGAUUGAGAAUAACAAUGAAUCUAUGGAUGUGAAUUUUGUUGGUAGGAAUAAUUUUGGUAACAACGCUUAUAGAGGGAAUUUUAAUCCUAGGCCAUAUCCUAGUAAUCCUUCUAAUAAUUAUGGGAAUUCCUACAACAACUCUUAUGGAAAUUAUAAUAAGAUGCCCUCUGAAUUUGAGAAUAGUGUUAAAGAGUUUAUGAAUUCACAAAAGAAUUUUAAUGCUUUGCUUGAAGAGAAAUUGCUUAAAGUUGAUGAUUUGGCUAGAAACGUUGAUAGAAUUUCUCUUGAGAUUGAUUCUUUAAAUCUUAGAUCUAUUCCUCCUAAGCAUGAUAUCAAUGAGUCUAUAAAAGCCAUGAGAAUUUCCAUUGAUGAGUGCAAGGAAAGAGCCGCUAGGAUGCGUGCUUCUAAAGAUGCCUUUAUUAAAGCGUGUCCUUCCAAUUCCUAUGAAAAUCAAGAUGAAGAUCUAAAAGUUAUUGAUGUGUCCUCUAUUAAAUCUUUGUUUUGCAAUAUGAAUCUUGAUGAAACUGAAUAUGACCUUCCUUUACCUAGAAGGCGUUCUAAAAAUUCGGAGUAUUUAGAUCUUUAUGAUGAAAUUGAUGAAAGCGGGAUUGAAAGAAAUAAAAAUCUAUAUGUUGCUAAACCCACUAUAUUGGAUUUUAAGGAAUUUAUUUAUGAAAGUUGCUUUUUAAUUGAUUGUAUUUCCUUGUUGCAAUCCGUGCUAAAUUCUCCACAUGCUUAUAGUCAAAAUAAAGCCUUCACCGAACAUAUUGUUGAUGCCUUGAUGCAAUCUUAUGAAGAAAAACUUGAUUUGAAAGUUUCUAUCCCUAGAAAACUCUAUGAUGAGUGGGAACCAACUAUUCAAAUUAAAAUUAAAUAUCAUGAGUUUUAUGCUUUGUGUGAUUUGGGUGCUAGUGUCUCCACUAUUCCCAAAACUUUAUGUGAUUUGCUAGAUUUCCGUAAUUUUGACGAUUGCUCUCUAAACUUGCAUCUUGCGGAUUCUACUAUUAAGAAACCUAUGGGAAUGAUUAAUGAUGUUCUUAUUGUUGUAAAUAGGAAUUAUGUGCUCGUAGAUUUCAUUGUUCUUGAUAUAGAUUGCAAUCCUUCUUGCCCUAUUAUUCUUGGUAGACCUUUCCUUAGAACGGUUGGUGCGAUUAUGGAUAUGAAGGAAGAGAAUAUUAGAUUUCAAUUUCCAUUAAAAAUGGGCAUGGAACACUUUCCAAGAAAGAAAAUAAAAUUACCAUAUGAAACUAUCAUGAGAGCCACUUAUGGAUUGCCUACCAAAGAUGGCAAUACUUAGAUCUAUCCUCGCUUUUAUGCCUAGCUAGGGGCGUUAAACGAUAGCGCUUGUUGGGAGGCAACCCAAUUUUAUUUUUAUUCCUUGCUUUUUUCUCCUGUUUAGUAAUAAAUAAAUUAUUUAUCCUCUGUUUUGGUUGUGUUUUUGUGUUUAAUUAGUGUUUGUGCUAAGUAGAACCGUUGGGAAGACUUGGGGAAAGUCUUGUUGAACUUGCUGUAAAAAACAGAAACUUUAGCGCUCACAAGAACUGUUGUAAUUUUUAUUUGAAGAGUGAUAUUUAGUUAAUUCUUUUUUCAGAUGAUUAAUAGAUAAAUUCCUCAUGUCCAGAAAUUUAUUUUAUAAUUUUUGGGGUUCCAGAUCUUGCGCUAGCUACAGAUUACUACAGACUGUUCUGUUUCUGACAGAUUCUGUUUUUCGUGUGUUGUUUGCUUAUUUUGAUGAAUCUAUGGUUAGCAAAAUAGUUUAUAAUCCAUAGAGAAGUUGGAAUACAGUAGGUUUAACACCAAUAUAAAUAAAGAAUAAGUUCAUUACAGUACCUUGAAGUGGUUUUUUUUUCUUUCGCUAACAGAGCUCACGAGUUUUCUAAUUUGAGUUUUGUGUUGUGAAGUUUUCAAGUUUUGGGUGAAUUCUUGUGAUGGAUUAUGGAACAAGGAGUGGAAAGAGCCUAAGCUUGGGGAUGCCCAUGGCACCCCCAAGAUAAUACAAGGACACCAAAAAGUCAAAGCUUGGGGAUGCCCCGGAAGGCAUCCCCUCUUUCGUCCACUUCCAUCGGUAAUUUACUUGGAGCUAUAUUUUUAUUCACCAACAUGAUAUGUGUUUUGCUUGGAGAGUCUUGUAUUAUUUGUGUCUUUGUGUCUUAGUAUGCCAAAAUCAUCCUUGCUGUACACACCUUUUGAGAGAGCCAUACAUGAAUUAAAAUUUGAUAGAAUACUCUAUGUGCUUCACUUAUAUCUUUUGAGCUAAGUAGUUUUGCUCUAUGUGCUUCACUUAUAUCUUUUGAGCUAAGUAGUUUUGCUCUAUGUGCUUCACUUAUAUCUUUUGAGCGUUAUAAUUUUGCUCUAUGUGCUUCACUUAGAUCUUUUAGAGCACGGUGGUGGAUUUUUUAAAGAAACUAUUGAUCUCUCAUGCUUCACUUAAAUUAUUUUAAGAGUCUCUUAAUAGCAUGGUAAUUUGCUUAAUAAUAAUAUGCUUGGUAUUCAAGAUUUGUGAAACUUUCUUUUGAGUGUGUUGAAUACUAAGAAAAGAUUGAAGCUUGAUAAUUUUUUUGAGAUAUGGAGGUGAUAAUAUUAAAGUUAUGCUAGUUGAGUAGUUGUGAAUUUAAAGAAUACUUGUGUUAAAGUUUGUGAUUCCCGUAGCAUGCACGUAUGGUGAACCGUUAUGUGAUGAAGUCGGAGCAUGAUUUAUUUAUUGAUUGUAUUCCUUAUGAGUGGCGGUCGGGGACGAGCGAUGGUCUUUUCCUACCAAUCUAUCCCCCUAGGAGCAUGCGCGUAAUACUUUGUUUUGAUAACUUCUAGAUUUUUGCAAUAAGUAUAUGAGUUCUUUAUGACUAAUGUUGAGUCCAUGGAUCAUACGCACUCUCACGCUUCCACCUUUGCUAGCCUCUCUAAUAUCGCGCACCUUUCGCCGGUAUCAUACAUCUACCAUAUACCUUCCUCAAAAUAGCCACCAUACCUACCUAUUAUGGCAUUUCCAUAGCCAUUCCGAGAUAUAUUAUCAUGCAACUUUCCACCAUCUAGUUCAUCAUGACACAUUCAUCAUUGUCAUAUUGCUUAGCAUGAUCAUGUAGUUGACAUAGUAUUUGUGGCAAAGCCACCGUUCAUAAUUUCUUCAUACUUGUCACUCUUGAUUCAUUGCAUAUCCCAGUACACUGCCGGAGGCAUCCAUACAGAGUCAUGCUUUGUCUUAGAAUCGAGUUGUAAUCAUUGAGUUGUAAAUAAAUAAAAGUGUGAUGAUCAUCAUUUAAUAGAGCAUUGUCCCAAAAAAAGAGAAAGGCCAAAGAAAAAAAAGAAGGCCCCAAAAAAGAUAAAAUAAAUAAAAAGGGGCAAUGCUACUAUCCUUUUACCACACUUGUGCUUCAAAGUAGCACCAUGAACUUCAUAGUAGAGAGUCUCUCAUGUUAUCACUUUCUUAUGCUAGUGGGAAUUUUACAUUAUAGAACUUGGCUUGUAUAUUCCAAUGAUGGGCUUCCUCAAAUUGCCCUAGGUCUUCAUGAGCAAGCAAGUUGGAUGCACACCCACUAGUUUCUUUUGUCGAGCUUUCAUACAUUUAUAGCUCUAGUGCAUCCGUUGCAUGGCAAUCCCUACUCACUCACAUUGAUAUCUAUUGAUGGGCAUCUCCAUAGCCCAUUUGAUAUGCCUAGUUGAUGUGAGACUAUCUUCCCCAGCUUUUUGUCUUCUCCACAACCACCAUUCUAUUCCACCUAUAGUGCUAAAUCCAUGGCUCACGCUCAUGUAUUGCGUGAAUAUUGAAAAAGUUUUGAAAAAGUUAGAGUAUGAAACAAUUGCUUGGCUUGUCAUCGGGGUUGUGCAUGAUUUAAAUACUUUGUGUGGUGAAGAUAGAGCAUAGCCAGACUAUAUGAUUUUGUAGGGAUAACUUUCUUUGGCCAUGUUAUUUUGAGAAGACAUAAUUGCUUUGUUAGUAUGCUUGAAGUAUUAUUAUUUUUAUGUCAAUAUAAACUUUUGUCUUGAAUCUUUCGAAUCUGAAUAUUCAUAUCACAAUUAAGAAGAUUUGCAUUGAAAUUAUGCCAAGUAGCACUCCACAUCAAAAAUUCUCUUUUUAUCAUUUACCUACUCAAGGACGGGCAAGAAUUAAGCUUGGGGAUGCCUGAUACGUCUCCAACGUAUCUAUAAUUUUUGAUUGCUCCAUGCUAUAUUAUCUACUGUUUUUGACUAUAUUGGGCUUUAUUUUCCACUUUUAUAUUAUUUUUGGGACUAACCUAUUAACCGGAGGCCCAGCCCAGAAUUGUUGUUUUUUGCCUAUUUCAGUGUUUCGGAGAAACAGAAUAUCAAACGGAGUCCAAACGGAAUAAAACCUUCGGGAACGUGAUUUUCUCACCGAACGUGAUCCAGGAGACUUGGACCCUACUCCAAGGAGUCAAAGAGGAGGUCACGAGGGUGCGGGGCGCCCCCCUAGGGCGCGCCCCCUGCCUCGUGGGCCCCUCGGUGCUCCACCGACGUACUUCUUCCUCCUAUAUAUACAUAUGUACCCCAAACGAUCAGAACAAGAGCCAAAAACCUAAUUCCACCGCCGCAACUUUCUGUAUCCACGAGAUCCCAUCUUGGGGCCUGUUCCGGAGCUCCGCCGGAAGAAGGCCGUCAUCACGGAGGGCUUCUACAUCAUCCUAGCCCCUCCGAUGAAGUGUGAGUAGUUUACCUCAGACCUUCGGGUCCGUAGUUAGUAGCUAGAUGGCUUCUUCUCUCUUUUUGGAUCUCAAUACAAAGUUCUCCCCCUCUCUUGUGGAGAUCUAUUCGAUGCAAUAUUCUUUUUGCGAUGUGUUUGUUGAGACCGAUGAAUUGUGGGUUUAUGAUCAAG